UCUGCCAUCUACGUCAUGGCACACAAUAAAGAUUCAAUCGCAACCUCGUAUCCUUCAGCGUCGGUGCCCCUUAUUAGUCCAAUCCUUCAAGAGGAGCGACUUUGACACCUUCACUCGCCGCAUGGCCUCCGGUGAGGCCUGGAAGGACGCCUGGCGAACCGCCAACGAAGGCUUCGAGCAAUUCGUUUUCGAAGCUAAAAAGACCGCUGAACGAUUAGACCGCCAAUACUCCAUUUCCCGCCAACUCUCCUCAGCCGUCCAAUUGGCUACGGACCAUGCUCGUGAAAUUGACCGGGAGUUCGAGAUUGGACUACGUUGUCGGACUUUUUCUAUGGAUUUUAGCUUAAAUUGGCCUAGGUAAAGGAAGUAGCUUAAUGAUUUCUUGGAUACUCCACUGGGUAGAAGUUCUGCUACAAUUUUCUUCCUUUGGUUUGCAUUAUUUGGUUGGAUGUUUCGAUGCAUAAUAUUUGCCACAUGGAUUCUUCCGUUUGCUGGACCUCUUCUCAUUGGGAUUAUUGCCAACAAUCUUGUUAUAAAGGUAUCACUUAUUUCUGUAAGAUGGCUCAUGUAAUGCAGGACAAAGGGAUGACUUGUGUAGCUUGGUUAUUUUUUAUUACUUGUAUUCUUUUUACGUGUAGAAGGUGC